rnacentral:rRNA from 1 species
AGCGAACGCUGGCGGCAGGCUUAACACAUGCAAGUCGAGCGGGCAUCUUCGGAUGUCAGCGGCAGACGGGUGAGUAACACGUGGGAACGUACCCUUCGGUUCGGAACAACUCUGGGAAACUGGAGCUAAUACCAGAUACGCCCUUAUGGGGAAAGGUUUACUGCCGAAGGAUCGGCCCGCGUCUGAUUAGCUAGUUGGUGGGGUAACGGCCUACCAAGGCGACGAUCAGUAGCUGGUCUGAGAGGAUGAUCAGCCACACUGGGACUGAGACACGGCCCAGACUCCUACGGGAGGCAGCAGUGGGGAAUAUUGGACAAUGGGCGCAAGCCUGAUCCAGCCAUGCCGCGUGAGUGAUGAAGGCCUUAGGGUUGUAAAGCUCUUUUGUCCGGGACGAUAAUGACGGUACCGGAAGAAUAAGCCCCGGCUAACUUCGUG